CUCCAUUGAUCUCUGUUUUGUGCCACAUGUCUGGGCCACUGAUUCGACAGUGAUUGGAUUGAGGAACUGAGGAG